UAGACAUGGAGGCAUGUGAUUAAGGGAAAUGCUGAGUACCCUCGCAAGGCCCUGUGUCCACUCUGGAGCCACAGGAGGCAGCGGAGGGCAUCCCUACGGCCUCUACUUACCACCUGCGUGCAGCACAGCAACCAUGAUGGAGGGGAACCACGACGUCUCGCUGUUGGUGGCCUGGAACUCAUGCUGGAGGUCAGUGAAGAAGACGCCGAUGCAGGAGGGGAAGCCCAGCGUUAGCCCCUGCAGCACCACUGCGGCCACCAGGACCAUCCAUGCCCAUCCCUGGUCCUGGACUUUGGCAGCUCCCCGUGCUGCUGCUCCUCCUUGGGCCAUGGCUUCCUUCUGCUCGCAGGCAGCCUGCUGGAGAAGGGAGUGUAGCUACCAUGCAGCCCUCAGCCCAGGGAACGGACCUAUGGAGACAAGGGCUGCGGGUAUUCCCUGCGCUCGGAGGCACCAGCGUGUCCCAAGCCCUUGGCAGUGCACACUCUGGACUUCUUGCUCUGCAUUUCUUCCAGGACCUCCCUUCCUUCUCUCUGCAGGAUCCUGGCAGAUUGCUCGAUAAAUGACUGCCUUCCCCUUUUAUAUUGCACAAGACAGUGAGUGCAGCCAGGUACAGAACGGGACCACACCUCCCUUGAGGUAUGAACUGGCCUUACCCAGUUCUGCCCUUAUUCUCCCUUU
rnacentral:lncRNA from 1 species